GCUGGAGUGGUGUAACGGUAAACACAGCAGACUUAAAAUCUGUGGGGCGAAAGCCCGUGAGGGUUCGACUCCCUCUUCCAGUACCA
rnacentral:tRNA from 1 species